AAACGGCGGGACCAGCAGCGACGGUAGCAGCAGCAUGGCCGCGAUCUAUGGGGGUGUAGAGGGGGGAGGCACACGAUCCAAGGUCCUUUUAGUCUCAGAGGAUGGGAAGAUCCUGGCAGAAGCAGAUGGACUGAGCACAAACCACUGGCUGAUCGGGACAGACAAGUGUGUGGAGAGGAUCAAUGAGAUGGUGAACAGGGCCAAACGGAAAGCAGGGGUGGAUCCUCUGGUACCGCUGCGAAGCUUGGUGAGUCUGGGGUGGAGCCUGGGAAUUCAGCCAUCAGUGACACUGAGACAGCUAGCAAGUUUGGACUAGAUGAGUUUGAUGACUGCAGAGGGAAAGACCUCCAAGACUUAGUCCCUGGUGUCAAAACUGUCAUAAUCUCACCCAGUCUCAUGGCUUCAGUUGCCACCUACAAACUACAAAUGUGUUGGAAGAGCACAGGGCUUUGGAGAGCUGCUGAGACCUUGGUUUGAAUCUCAGCUUUGCUGCUCAGUAUCUGCAUAACCCUGUGUAGGUUACUCACCUUCUCUAAGCCUCAGUUU
rnacentral:sRNA from 1 species